CUGCCGGAGGCGACCGCUGUGGGAGUCCGAUUAAGCCAUGCGAGUCGAGAGAAUAAGAUUCUCGGCAUACCGCUCAGUAACACGUGGAUAACUGCCCUGUGCUGGGGGAUAACCUCGCGAAAGUGAGAACAAUACCCCAUGGGUCACUAUGCCUGGAACGGUUAGUGGCUGAAAGCUCCGGCGGCACAGGAUGGGUCUGCGGCGUAUCAGGUCGUAGGGGGUGUAACGUACCUCCUAGCCUUCGACGCGUACGGGUUGUGAGAGCAAUUGCCCGGAGAUGGAUUCUGAGACACGAAUCCAGGCCCUACGGGGCGCAGCAGGCGCGAAAACUUGACAAUGCGAGAAAUCGUGAUCAGGGGACUCCAGUUGGCUGGAUCAAAAGUCCAGUCUGAACCGACUUUAAAUCGGUCGGGUAAUAGGGGCGGGAAAGACCGGUGCCAGCCGCCGCGGUAAUACCGGCGCCCCAAGUGGUCGUCACUAUUAUUGGGCCUAAAACGUCCGUAGCCGGUUUGGUAAAUCCGUGGGUAAAUCAGACAGCCUAACUGUCUGAAUUCUGCGGGGACUGCCAGACUUGAGACCGGGAGAGGUGCGGGGUACUUGCGGGGUACCGGUAAAAUGGGAUCAUCCCGUAGAGACCACCUGUUGCGAAGGCGCCGCACUAGAACGGAUCUGACGGUCAGGGACGAAGCCUAGGGGCACGAACCGGAUUAGAUACCCGGGUAGUCCUAGGUGUAAACGCUGUGGACUUGGUGUCGGGGACCUUCUGAGGGUUUCCGGUGCCGGAGUGAAGAUGUUAAGUCCACUGCCUGGGGAGUACGUC
rnacentral:rRNA from 1 species